rnacentral:rRNA from 1 species
GAUUGGGGUGAAGUCGUAACAAGGUAGCCGUAUCGGAAGGUGCGGCUGGAUCACCUCCUUUCUAGGGAG